GACGAACGCUGGCGGCGUGCUUAACACAUGCAAGUCGAACGGAAAGGCCCUGCUUUUGUGGGGUGCUCGAGUGGCGAACGGGUGAGUAACACGUGAGUAACCUGCCCUUGACUUUGGGAUAACUUCAGGAAACUGGGGCUAAUACCGGAUAGGAGCUCCUGCUGCAUGGUGGGGGUUGGAAAGUUUCGGCGGUUGGGGAUGGACUCGCGGCUUAUCAGCUUGUUGGUGGGGUAGUGGCUUACCAAGGCUUUGACGGGUAGCCGGCCUGAGAGGGUGACCGGCCACAAUGGGACUGAGAUACGGCCCAGACUCCUACGGGAGGCAGCAGUGGGGAAUAUUGCACAAUGAGCGGAGGCCUGAUGCAGCAACGCCGCGUGCGGGAUGACGGCCUUCGGGUUGUAAACCGCUUUCGCCUGUGACGAAGCGUGAGUGACGGUAAUGGGUAAAGAAGCACCGGCUAACUACGUG
rnacentral:rRNA from 1 species